rnacentral:rRNA from 1 species
AGCGAACGCUGGCGGCAGGCCUAACACAUGCAAGUCGAACGAAGUCUUCGGACUUAGUGGCGGACGGGUGAGUAACACGUGGGAACGUACCUUUUGGUUCGGAACAACUCAGGGAAUCUUGAGCUAAUACCGAAUGUGCCCUUAGGGGGAAAGAUUUAUCGCCAUUAGAGCGGCCCGCGUUAGAUUAGCUAGUUGGUGAGGUAAAGGCUCACCAAGGCUACGAUCUAUAGCUGGUCUGAGAGGAUGAUCAGCCACACUGGGACUGAGACACGGCCCAGACUCCUACGGGAGGCAGCAGUGGGGAAUCUUGGACAAUGGGCGCAAGCCUGAUCCAGCCAUGCCGCGUGAGUGAAGAAGGCCUUAGGGUUGUAAAACUCUUUCGCCGGUGAAGAUAAUGACGGUAGCCGGAGAAGAAGCCCCGGCUAACUUCGUGCCAGCCGCCGCCGUAACAC